rnacentral:miRNA from 2 species
UGUAUUGGAACACUACAGCUCCU